rnacentral:rRNA from 1 species
GAUGAACGCUAGCGGCAGGCCUAACACAUGCAAGUCGAGGGGUAGAGGAAGCUUGCUUCCUUGAGACCGGCGCACGGGUGCGUAACGCGUAUGCAAUCUACCUUUUACAGAGGGAUAGCCCAGAGAAAUUUGGAUUAAUACCUCAUAGUAUAUAUCAUUCGCAUGUUUGGUAUAUUAAAGUUCCAACGGUAAAAGAUGAGCAUGCGUCCCAUUAGUUAGUUGGUAAGGUAACGGCUUACCAAGACGAUGAUGGGUAGGGGUCCUGAGAGGGAGUUCCCCCACACUGGUACUGAGACACGGACCAGACCCCUACGAGGGGCAGCAGUGAGGAAUAUUGGUCAAUGGACGCCAGUCUGAACCAGCCAUGCCGCGUGCAGGAAGCCGGUCCUAUGGAUUGUAAACUGCUUUUGUACGGGAAGAAACACUCCUACGUGUAGGAGCCUGACGGUACCGUAAGAAUAAGGAUCGGCUAACUCCGUGCCAGCCGCCGCCGUAACAC